GUGCCCGCAAAAGAUGACCAAGGUUAAGGUCCAACUGGUUUGGGUCAGGUGUGCCCACUAAAAGAUGACCAAGGUAAAGGUCCAACUGGUUCGGGUCAGGUGUGCCCACAAAAAGAUGACCAAGGUAAAGGUCCAACUGGUUCGGGUCAGGUGUGCCCACAAAAAGAUGACCAAGGUAAAGGUCCAAUUGGUUUGGGUCAGGUGUGCCCACUAACAAGUUUAAGGGACCAUAGUGAUGGUCCAUCGUUGGUUAUCUCAAGAAGUUUUGGUCUAAUAAAUAGCUGCUUUUGGCUGCAGCAAAGAACCAAGAA